UGCUUUUCCCCCCGGUAGAAACACGUGGUUAUUAGGCGAUAAAUACGGCCUCAUGCCAUAAUCACAUUUUUUCUGCUGGCGACGUUCAAUGGAGUAGGAACGUUAGUUGGUUUUGAAUGCCGUUUUAGUUGUAUUAGUAUUUCAGAACCUGUGUAAUUAGAUUGUUAGUUUAUAUCGUUUUUAGAUAUAUUGAAAAUGUAAGCUUUUAGACAAAAAGGAAGUGGAUAAGUUUCUGCUGUUCACGGCAUCCUCUGACUGUAAAAUGUAAAUAAUUAUAAAUCAAAAGGACAUGGUUUUUGCAAUCAUACCGCUGUGAUGGAUCCGUUGAAUUCUGUGCAUCUGCUUUGCUAACUAGCCUACGUUACAUUCAGAUGCCUCGUGUUAUAAGCCCGGCUGUAUCAUUACUGUAGCGUCUUUAUCCUGAAUCGAGUCCGCCGCUGCUCAGCCCAGACAUGAUGAUUUUGCAGUCCGUGUUUCACCUGACUAAUGAUUACAAACCUACUGCACUGACUGGUUAAAGUUGCGGAAUAAAUCGGUGCGAUGGCUUCGUUUCCCUCGGAAUUCAUUCUGAUAUGCUGUACUUCUGUUUAUUUUUACAGAGACACGCGUUUAUGGAAAUGAGGUGAGUUCAAAUCUCGUGUGCCUCCGAGUAAGCGUCUUCCGCUGAGGUGAUGAAUUGCAUGUAGUCCGUGUUUCUGAUAGCCAGUGAUUAUUAACAUGCUCUGAUUAAAGUGCUCGGGGUGAAAACGAACCCCAGUUUAGUAUGUUGUUUUUUUUUCUUCUAACAUCUCCACAAAUAUUCUGCAGGAACCUCAACUUUUGAAAGCAGGAAAGUGUUGACCAAGGUAUGCUUUAUGUAUUUCGUUCUGAUAGGAGUAAAUCCAAACUAUGAAGUAACUACCUUUUAUCUAAUGUCUGUGUUGUAUUAAUUCCUAUUCUCUUUUCUUUUUUUUUUAUUUAGGGGUUUACUUCAUGUGAACUGACUUUCUACUAUGGAUUUGAAUGAGGUCCACUGGCCUUUUAUUUUACUAGAGAUAUAACCCAAUUAUGGUACAGAAGAUUAAAGUACAUAAUUGUGUUCUGUAGUAUGGUUUGUCCAUGCUUGCUUGCCAUCUUGUUACUCUAAAAGAUGCCAGCAAUAUAUGUCAGUGAGGAUUUGAAACUGCUACAAUAAAUUCU